rnacentral:rRNA from 1 species
AUACGUAGGGUGCGAGCGUUGUCCGGAAUUACUGGGCGUAAAGAGCUCGUAGGUGGUUUGUCGCGUCGUCUGUGAAAUUCCGGGGCUUAACUCCGGGCGUGCAGGCGAUACGGGCAUAACUUGAGUACUGUAGGGGAGACUGGAAUUCCUGGUGUAGCGGUGAAAUGCGCAGAUAUCAGGAGGAACACCGGUGGCGAAGGCGGGUCUCUGGGAAGUAACUGACGCUGAGGAGCGAAAGCAUGGGUAGCGAACAGGAUUAGAUACCCUGGUAGUCCAUGCCGUAAACGGUGGGCGCUAGGUGUAGGGGUCUUCCACGACUUCUGUGCCGUAGCUAACGCAUUAAGCGCCCCGCCUGGGGAGUACGGCCGCAAGGCUAAAACUCAAAUGAAUUGACGGGG